GGAGAGGAACUCAGCCAAGCGAAGAGAGGCAGAAAAGUUCAGGUUGUGCUUAGCAGUGGUUCAGCUUGAGACCUGCACUGUCUGCAUCCCCGGGGCCUUUCAUCUCUUCUGUUUCCAUUUGUGUAAGAAAGCUGAGAUUCAGAAGGGUUCUGCACAAGAGAGCCAAUUUUUGGAUGCUGCCACACAGAGAGAGACGACAGCCAGUCAGUCUUGAAGAGCAGCAGCCAACCAACAGAGAGAUGGCCACUUCCCCAUGGCCUCCCGGCCCCUGUCCACAGCCCCGCCGCAGACAGGAGCAGGGGGGAUGUGACAAGGGACAGACCGCCUUCCGCCACCCUCCACUCAGGCCAGCAGGGCCAUGGCCACAUCUAGCUUCCCUGGGAGUGGAGGCCGAGAGCUUUGAAGGAGAGCUUGACCUGGACAUUUUUAAGUACCAGCCCGUGUAAUCCUCCCAGCAGCUGCGAGAAUAAGAGCUGCACCUGCCAGAGCACACCCGGUUAGAAAGAGGUGGUGCUGGGAUCUGCACCCGCUGGCCAUCUCUGGAGACCCCCAUGAGACAGGGCCCCUCGACCGCCCGGGGAAGGGGCAGGUGCAGCGCCGUGGAAGGUCGGAGGAGGGCAGAGGCAAACAAGGCCAUGGAAACGAGCCACAAGAGAAAGCAACAUUCACCUUUAAUUGCAUCACAGACCAAACGUUAACCCACUGAAGACCCGCCACCCCGUUAACUGGCUAGAAUGGGGGUGUUCCUGUGGCUCCACUGAACAGAAACAGAUCCUGAGACCUUAAGGUAAGCGUCUGAACACUGUCACCAUGUACAACGUCUAUCUAUUGCUUUACUGUACAAUCAGAGUGAGAAACAAAUGCAUUCGAUGCUGUGGAGGUAGAAGACACCGUGGUUGCUACCCCAACCCCAAAUGUCUGCAUCAGGACCAGCUGAGCUCUUCUUAGUCGUUAUCUUUUGAAUAAAUGUUACGCAUUCGAAUAGAACAAUUUAUGCUAACAAAAUACAGUUGACCCUUGAACAGUUUUCCAGGGUUUGAACUGAAUGAGUCCACUUAUAUGCGAAUCUUUUUCAACAGUAAAUACUAUGGUAGGUGGUACACCAUCUGCAGUUUGCUGAACCCGCAGAUGUGGAACCGCGGACGUGGAAGAAUCACAUACACAGAGGGCCGACACUAAGUUGUAUGUGUAUUUUUGACUGCUCGGAGGGUCGACGCCCCUAACCUCCGUGUUGUUCAAGGGUCAAGUGUACUGCUUUCAUGUUUUAUAUAUUGAGUUUAUUCAUCUGACAAAUGAGGGAGCUAAGUUUAGAGAGUAAUUUGCACAAAGCACAGGGCUCAGCUACUAGAGAAAGCAACACCCUGCCACUGCCGGGCCAGUGCC